CUGGUUCUGUGAUGUUAGCACUGGGCUCUGAAUAAUAUGACGGACACUGUGCCCCUCUGUCCUGACAUGCAGAGGGCCUGAGAGCCAG
rnacentral:snoRNA from 1 species